UACGGAGGGAGCUAGCGUUGUUCGGAAUUACUGGGCGUAAAGCGCACGUAGGCGGCUUUUUUAAGUCAGGGGUGAAAUCCCGGGGCUCAACCCCGGAACUGCCCUUGAAACUGGAGAGCUAGAAUCUUGGAGAGGCGAGUGGAAUUCCGAGUGUAGAGGUGAAAUUCGUAGAUAUUCGGAAGAACACCAGUGGCGAAGGCGACUCGCUGGACAAGCAUUGACGCUGAGGUGCGAAAGCGUGGGGAGCAAACAGG
rnacentral:rRNA from 1 species